rnacentral:sRNA from 1 species
UCAGCCCCAGGCACAGAAGAGACGAUUCACAGAGGAGCUACCAGAUGAACGGGAAUCUGGACUGCUUGGAUACCAGGUACAGGCUUCUCCAGUCAGAAUGAGAUUGAAGGUGCAGGAUCGAAGCCAGCAAGUUCCUCAGGCAAAGAGAGAGAGAGGGACAGGCAGUUGAUGCCUCCACCAGCCUUUCCAGUGACUGGAAUAAAAACAGAGUCCGAUGAAAGGAAUGGGUCUGGGACCUUAACAGGGAGCCAUGGUGAGUGUGGUGUAGCUGGGGGAACAGGGGAGUGACUAACUAAGGCUGGUCUAAAACUAUUAGUUUUCUCAGCCGGGCGCGGUGGCUCACGCCUGUAAUCCCAGCACUUUGGGAGGCCAAGAUGGGCGGAUAACCUGAGGUCAGGAGUUUGAGACCAGCGUGGCUAACACGGUGAAACCUCGUCUCUACUAAAAAUAGAAAAAUUAAGCUGGGCAUGGUGGUGCAUGCCUGUAAUUCCAGCGACUUGGAAGGCUGAGGCAGGAGAAUCGCUUGAACUUGGGAGGUGGAGGUUGCAGUGAGCC